rnacentral:tRNA from 1 species
GUCUGAAUAGCUCAGUGGUAAGAGAGCAGUCGCCCGACAAGCGAAAGACUCGGGAUCGAUUCCCGAUUUAGCG